rnacentral:lncRNA from 10 species
UGACAUCAAGGGAAUGGGCACUGUUCAAAAGGGAAUGUCAGGCAGGAAAAAAAAGAAGUGGGGGGAAUGUCCCACAAAUACAACGUUACCCAGCAUGCUGUUGACAUUGUUACAGACAAACAAGUUAAGGGCAAUAUUCUUGCCAAGAUAAUAAAUGUUGUUAUUGAGAAUGUUAGGCACACAAGAUAAAUUCCUAAAACACAUUGAACAAAAAAGAUCAGUAAAAGAAAGAAGCCAAAGAGAAAGGUACCUAUGUUCAACAGAAACACCAGCCUACCUCACCUGGAACAGCACACUUCAUGAGAACCAAAGAAGCCUGAGCUGCUGGAACCUAUUCUCUAUGAAACUGU